rnacentral:lncRNA from 10 species
UUUUUUCUUGAGACAGUCUCGCUCUGUCAACCAGGCUGGAGUGCAGUGGCGCAAUGUUGGCUCACUGCAACCUCCGCCUCCCGGAUUCAAGCAAUUCUCCUGCAUCAGUCUCCCAAGUAGCUGGGGCUACAGGUGUGUGCCACCAUGCCCAGUCAAUUUUUUGUAUUUUUUUUUUUUAAGUAGAGACGAGGUUUCACCAUUUUCGCCAGGCUGGUCUCAAAACUCCUGACCUUGUGAUCCACCCGCCUCGGCCUCCCAAAGUGCUGGGAUUACAGGCAUGAGCCACCGCGCCCAGCCACAGGUUUCUUUGAAAAGGGCCAAACUGAAUGAAUUUUAAUACUCUGCCCUUAUAAGGCAUCUCCUUCUGUAUUUUUUUCCUACAAUAGACUAAAGUAAUUCUGUGCUUAUUUUAUAGCUUUGCAGUCCCCAAAAAAACCAUGAAGCCCUGAGAGUAAUGAAAAGCUUCCUGACAUUGAGGUCACUGUGGAAGAUCAGAGGAUCAGAGAUCUCUCCUCUACACGAGGUGCCAUCCUUUCCUGAAGGAGCUCCUUGUAAAGUGCAUGAGGUGUUCCUUUUGGUAAAAAGACACACUGCGCAACCACAGAGACCUGAGCCUGAACCUAUAAAGAUUUGAACAAGAUCAGCGGCAACAUCAGAUUCUCGUGAGCACGAACCCUGUUGUGAACUGUGCAUGCAAGGGAUCUACCUUGCUCUGUCCUUAGGAGAAUCUAAUGCCUGAUGAUCUGUCACUGUCUCCCAUCACCCCCACAUGGGACCAUCUAGUUGCAGAAAAACAAGCUAAGGCCUCCCACUCAUUCUACAUUAUGCCUUAGCCGAGAUGUCUCACCCCACUCUCUAUGAUGCAACAAGAAGCCCCUGGGGAACGUUUCAGUCCCAGUCUGUACUAUUGUCAUGUGCUCAUCACAGUCUGGUAAGUGCUGGCAUACGAUUCCUAAA